UUCGUGCCUGCUCCAUUAACAUUAGCACGUCUCGUCCCAGGGUUCUUGCGUUUUUGUCAUUAUAAUGCACACCCCUGCCACACUGCAGGUUUACCAUUAAGUAGUAACAUAAUUUAUAGACUCUCGGAAAUAGGGUGAAAGAAAGAAAUCGGGUUUGUCGUUAUCUAUUUGCUGCGGCAGGUCUAGUCUAUCACAUUUGUCCUUUCACACUAAUCAUAUCAGCGAAAGCAGCAGGAAAGGGCGAGGAGCCCGACACCCAGGUCUCGGUUAAGCCCCGCGAUGUCGUCUUGCAGUGCGGUGCCGUGGUCUGCUUUUGAGCAGAAGCCCUGUCGGUGAACUGCACCUCAAUGGACGAGAACGUCUCAAACCGUGGAAAAUGCGGGUCUUUAUUGCUCAGCUGGCCAUUCCACGGCUUGCCCUUCCGAUAUCCGUGACAGACGGGAGAGGAUCAAGUGUGACUCCCAGAUUCCUGACUGUGGUUCAUGAAUGGGGAAGCCAUCAACCAACACUGUGAAACCCUUGUGAUAUAAGGUACAAGAUGUCUUCAGGGAAGUGCCUGAUGGGAUUCUUAUUCGGACUGUGGAUUUGGACUGGGAUAUUAUUAUUUCUUAAUUAUUCUUGCAAGUAAUUCACCCUGAAUGCUUUGUGUAUGAUUCAGUGAAAAAAGCAAUUUGAACCUUCUGGUUUAAAAAAAAUAAAACACUCUCAUUCUGUCAUUAACUGUCCCCAGUUAAUGGGGACAGUUAAUGGCACUCUUAUUUUCUGUAUGUGAAUAUAUACAGUGAAAAUAGAUUUUUCCCACUCUAUUUUCUGUAUUGAAGCACUGGAACCAUCUGCAUUAAAGACAUCAGUCUGAAAA